GCCGGGCGUGGUGGCACACACCUGUGAUCUCAGUGACUUGGGAGGCUGAGGCAGGAGGAUCACAAGUUUGAGGACAGCCUGAAUAACUUAAUGUGACCCUGUUUCAA
rnacentral:sRNA from 1 species